CAUUUGGGUCGAGAAUGGGCUUUAGGCUCAUUCGUAUUGUUAUCCUUGUUUAGAAUACUUUAGUUUACCAAAUUAUUGAAAUACCCUUGACUUGUAAAAUUAUCAAAGUACACCUGAUUUACAGAAUUACCGUUUUACCCUCGAUUUCCAAAUUAUUGAAAUACCUUGUAGGGUAGAAUUACUGAAAUACCCCUGUAGGGUAGAAUUACUAAAAUACCCUUGUAG
rnacentral:lncRNA from 1 species